rnacentral:rRNA from 1 species
UACAGAGGGGGCAAGCGUUGUUCGGAAUUACUGGGCGUAAAGGGCGCGUAGGCGGCCUGUUAAGUCGAACGUGAAAUCCCCGGGCUCAACCCGGGAACUGCGUCCGAUACUGGCAGGCUUGAAUCCGGGAGAGGGAUGCGGAAUUCCUGGUGUAGCGGUGGAAUGCGCAGGAUAUCAGGAGGAACACCGGUGGCGAAGGCGGGUCUCUGGGCAGUGAACUGACGCUGGAGGAGCGAAAGCGUGGGGAGCAAACAGGG